rnacentral:lncRNA from 1 species
AGUUCUUAGGGAAACGUUUGCUGGUGAACCUGAACAUGCAAUAAAAUAAAUGGAGUUCUCAAUUUCAAAGUGAACUACCGCUGUGCCGCACACCCAUAUUCUAGAAUCUGAACUUUCAAAGUGAAACCCUAGAGAACUACUCCUUCUCCGCUCCGGCCUCCCCUCCGUCGCCACGCCAAAAGACCGGCGCCAUCUCGCCAGGUCCACGCAACAGCAGUGCCCAGCCCACGACCUGCGUCCUCCCGUCAUUUGCCAGCAGACCGCCGUCUUACAGCAGCAGCAAGCAGCACCCUAUCGGCGAGUCGGCGACGAUGACUGCUCCCCGGCCUCUCCUCCGCAACAGCAGCAGCCCGCGAUCUGCGUCGUCACGUCCACGCAGUAGCAUUCUUGUUUUAAGAAUGAAUUGUUAAUAUAUGUUUUUCUGUUUUAUGAAUUGACUGAUAUGUGUGAAAUUGAAUCGCUGAUGUUUAUGGAUUUUUUUCUCUUCAGAUUUCGAGAUGUGAGGCAGCAACAUGUUUUUCUGUUCUUUUCGCUUUUUUUGUAAUUAUUUGAAAUGAGUCAAAUGACAGUAGCAUGUGUUUUAUGAUUUGAAAAAUGAAAAUUCAGUUUUUAUAAAUCGGGUCGGUUCGGUUCGGUUUUGAACCGAUGUUCAGCCAUAUUUGUGGGAAAAACCAAAAUUUGAAAAUUUAUUAUUGUUUUAAACCAAAUUUACCCUAAAAAAAUUGGGAGGGGGGGGAGGAGGUGUGGGGGUGGCAAGAAAAAUUUAAUAAAAAGAUAGGGGGGGGGGGUUGUGGGUGGCAAGAAAACUUAAUUUUUUUUGGGGGUGCAUGUUUUUGUGUAAUAUGCAUGGAAAAUACGUCAAUUUUUUUUAAAAUAUAAUUUUAUUAAUAUUCAAUUUUUUUUCUUUCCGAUUUUACCCCAGUGCAAAUUUUGGUUUGUCCCUACAAAUAUAACACAAAAUAGAGAUGAGAGAUGCAAAAUAAUGCCAAUUUGACAAAUUUAUACUAUAUUAAAAAGAGAGUUCUCAAUUUCAAAUUGAUUUCAAACAAAAUUGAGCGGCAAAUUUGUGAUUAUAAUAAAAUUAUUAAUGUGAAUUAUUCUUUAUUUUUUUAUAUUAAACUAAAAUAUUUAUCUUAAAUUACAAUAUUUUUUAUUAUAUUUAGAAUUUUUUAUAUAAAAAUCAAAUUAAUAUAAAUAUUAUACUCCCUCCGUCCGCCAAGAUUAUGUAAAAAUUACUAUAUUUGGCGUCCGCCAAGUUUAUGUCACUUUCCUUUUAUGGAAAUGGUCCCACCAUCCUCUUUAAUAUUUUAUCCUUACUAACACUCUUUAUUUACAAAAAACCCACUCAAAAUUCAAUCUCAACCACACAUUUCAUAAAGUGGUGGGACCUUUCUCCACUACAUCAAAAUCAUCACCAAUUUUAUUAAAUCCCGUGCCCAAGCAAUUUUACAUAAUUUUGGCGGACGGAGGUAGUAUAUAAUAAAAUAUAAAAAUAUUUUUCGUGCGUUGCACGAGUGCAAAUGCUAGUUAUGAUGUAAAUNAAGAGAGCCUUAAAAUUUAAGCUCACGCCUGAUUGGAUGUUUUUAGAGGUUGGAAAGGGAAUCACUUAAGUGAAUCCAUUACUUGUUGUUUGGUUUGAGUAAUGAGUUAACCAUUACUUUUAUUUGAGGGUAACCCAAUCAUUCAAUUUGUUAUCCCUCAAAAUAGAGGGGAAACAAAAUAAAGGGAAUCCCUUACUAAUGAUUUAUUUCCAUUGUUAAACCAAACACUCAAUAAAAAUAAUAGUUAUUGUUACCAUUCCAUUUCUUUAUUUGAUUCCAUUCACUUUUCAUUACUCUAUUGAACCAACAAGCAAUAAGGAGGUGAUUGGUAUGAUGGAAUGGAGGUGGGAAUGGAAUGGUGAUUCCUACCUCCAUUCCAUUCCUAUGCUUGGUAUAAUUUUAUUUUAGGAAUCACCAUUCUUAAAGGAAUCACCAUUCCUUUAUAUAUAGGAAUCAUCAUUCCUUCCCUCCAACAUGGUAUUACCCAUUCCAUUCCAUUCCAUUUCUAAUUCACCUAAAUUUAGGUUUUGACAAAAUUAUCCUUAUAUAAUUUGCACCCCCACCCCAUCCCACCCCACCCCUACUUACACCCCCUCCCCCCACUCCACCCCACCCCACCCCACCCCACCCCUCCACCCAAAAAAAAUAUUUUUAUUUUUUUAAAAAAAUUCUCGCCAUUCCACCCUCCAAUUUUUUUUUUAAGUUUUCUCGUCACCCCCACACCUCACCCACCUUUCCCUUUCCCCCAAUUUUUUUUUGUUUUUCUCCCCACCCCAACCCACCCACCCCCACCCUCCAAUUAUUUUUUUUUUAAAAAAUUUCUCCCCACCCUCACAAUUUUUUUUAAAAUUUUACUCGCCACCCACACCCACACCCAUCCAUCAUAAUGCAGAAAUGACACGAAGACACAUGUCUCAUUGGUAUUGCAACUCAAGAUCCAGUUCUUAGGGAAACGUUUGCUGGUGAACCUGAACAUGCAAUAAAAUAAAUGGAGUUCUCAAUUUCAAAGUGAACUACCGCUGUGCCGCACACCCAUAUUCUAGAAUCUGAACUUUCAACGUGAAACCUUAGAGAACUACUCCUUCUCCGCUCCGGCCUCCCCUCCGUCGCCACGCCAGAAGACCGGCGCCAUCUCGCCAGGUCCACGCAACAGCAGUAGCCCAGCCCACGACCUGCGUCCUCCCGUCAUUUGCCAGCAGACCGCCGUCUUACAGCAGCAGCAAGCAGCACCCUCUCGGCGAGUCGGCGACGAUGACUGCUCCCCGGCCUCUCCUCCGCAACAGCAGCAGCCCGCGAUCUGCGUCGUCACGUCCACGCAGUAGCAUUCUUGUUUUAAGAAUGAAUUGUUAAUAUAUGUUUUUCUUGUUUUAUGAAUUGACUGAUAUGUGUGAAAUUGAAUCGCUGAUGUUUAUGGAUUUUUUCUCUUCAGAUUUCGAGAUGUGAGGCAGCAACAACAUGUUUUUCUUGUUCUUUUCGCUUUUUUUGUAAUUAUUUGAAAUGAGUCAAAUGACAGUAGCAUGUGUUUUAUGAUUUGAAAAAUAGAAAAUUCAGUUUUUAUAAAUCGGGUCGGUUCGGUUCGGUUUUGAACCGAUGUUCAGCCAUAUUUGUG